UGCUCUGCCAGCCCCACAGUACAGAAGUUUUUCCUCAUGCUCAGAUGUAACUUUCUGUGUUUUAGAAAAGCCUGGCUCCGUCCUCUUGGCACCUGAACUUAGCUUGUAAUAAUUAGAAGAUCACCUUGACAAAGAGCAAAUACCUUUGGAGAUGUGGAAAGCAGCCACAAACUUUUGAAGACAAGUGAGACUCCUGCCUCUUUUCAAGGGUGUCUCCAGUGUCUUCUUAAUACAGAAGGAGCCUUGACCAAUUUCUUGAUUUGAGAAGUCCUGACUAUUUAAACUUACAGAGGAGCCCUAGCCACCUCUUUGGCAAAGGAAGCAAUCACUUGGAUGGUGUUUCAGCAUGGUGACAGCACCUCAGCACCUCAGGCAAUGAAAAAGAACUGAACCUCGAUCUAAACCUUGCUGCCUGGAAACCAAAACAUGAAUCCAUUCAACAGAUUCCAAAACUUAAGUAAGGAAAUUGAGGUCUUCUAGCAGCGGUUAGGAUAUUCUGUAUUAGCAUGGCAAUUCUAAUAUUUCAGGGAAAACCUUUCAUGUAUUUCAGAUAUAUAAUCAAACAUGAAAUUCAUUUUUGACAAAAUAUGCAUGGCCAGAAUCUAAUAACUAAAGCUUUUCAUGUUUGCUAAGCUUUUCAUCCAUUCAGACACUGGAGCUGGAACUUUUUGGGUAGAAAAGGUCAUUGGUAACCAUUGGCUUUAGGCAACAUCUCCCCCUCCUUCCAAACUAAUUUUCAUCUUGAAAGGUGCAAGUUUGAAAAACAACAUAUGCUGCUUGACUCAGCACAAAAAGCAACUCAUAGUUAUGUUUCAGAAAUAUCAUUACUGCAUUUUUACUGCAUAUUAUUACUGCAUUUCAAAAAUACUAGAUUUCCUCCUCGGUAAGACUUCUAAUAACCUGAAGUGUUCUAAAAUGAAACCCUUUUGGCUGAACAGCCGGAAAGGCCGGAGAGGGAAGAAGAUACCAUGGCUUUAUAGACAAGUUCAGAGAUAGGAUUUCCCUGUAUGCCUAAUGCAGAAAAGUGUCAUAAAUAUCAGAUGCAGUGACCUACUGAAAAUCAUCUGUUUUCAGGAAUAUUUUUUCCUCUUUCUAGAGUACUGAAAAUACAACUACAAAAAAAACCAAAACAAAUCAAAACAAAAAACCAACCAAACAAAAAAAACCACCAAAAAAACCAAACCAAACCAAACCAA